rnacentral:rRNA from 1 species
AAUUGACGGGGCCCGCACAAGCGGUGGAGUAUGUGGUUUAAUUCGACGCAACGCGCAGAACCUUACCUAGGCUUGACAUCCCGGGAAUUUGCUGGAAACAGUGAAGUGCUUUCAUUAGAAAGAGCCCGGUGACAGGUGCUGCAUGGCUGUCGUCAGCCCGUGUCGUGAGAUGUUGGGUUAAGUCCCGCAACGAGCGCAACCCUCGCCUUUAGUUGCCAGCAUUCAGUUGGGCACUCUAAAGGGACUGCCGGUGUCAAACCGGAGGAAGGUGGGGAUGACGUCAAGUCCUCAUGGCCUUUAUGUCUAGGGCUACACACGUACUACAAUGGGCGGUACAAAGAGAAGCAACCUCGCGAGAGUGCGCAAAUCUCAAAAAGCCGUUCUCAGUUCGGAUUGAAGUCUGCAACUCGACUUCAUGAAGUCGGAAUCGCUAGUAAUCGCGGAUCAGCAUGCCCGCGGUCGAAUACGUUCCCGGGCCUU